rnacentral:tRNA from 1 species
AAGAAAUUAGUUAAGUUUAUAACAUAUGUUUGUCAUGCAUAAAUCAUCUUCUAGAUAUUUCUUA